AGGAAACAGCAAAGAAGAUUCGUUGGAAGCGUUUGAUGCUGCACAGAGACGAAUCUCAGAUUACUUGGGAGAGAUAAAGAGUCAAGGUUCGACUCCUCGGUUGGCGAAUGGGAAAGCGAUGGUGGUGAAUGAGCAACAAGUGGAUAAGUUUCUGUAUACAAUGCUGAAACUGAACUCGACCAUACUCAGUUACUCGAGAAUGGCAGCGGUGGUUCUGGUUAGUCUCCCGCCGCCUCCGUUGAACCACCCGGCGUAUUUCUACAUGGAGUAUAUGGAUUUGCUGGUGGAGAAUGUUCCAAGGAUGUUGAUCGUGAGAGGGUAUCACAGAGAUGUUGUAACUUUGUUUACUUAGUUUCAUAUCUUUUUUUGAUAAUAUCCACCAACAAAAUCAAAGACCCUGUCCUUCUUCAAGGCCAGCUUCUUCUUUUCCUCUUCCAACCUCUCCUCUUUAUAUAUUUUUUACAGUUUAUAUAUAAUUUUAACCUUGUAGUACAGAUAAUUCCAUUUUGUUGAAAAUGAUUGAAUUGGAUAUUCCUGUGAGCUUUAGUUUUUUCUUUCUCAAAUUUUGUUAUAGUUAGCUUCAUUUUAUUCUUUUGGUUAUGCACUUACACCCAUAGUUUCAUAUAUCAUAUAUGUAUAUGGUAAAACACAUCUCACUAGUUUUAUCAUUUUUCUCAUUCAAAAAGAAAUCUUCAACAUUACAGAAUCUAAGUUCAUACAUUGAUCAUUAUCCAGAAGUGAAACGAAUUUGCAAAUUAUUCCUCUUUCCCACCAUCAGUCGAAACUCGAAAGAAACUGGUUUGUUAGGCUAAGAUGAGCGCAACUAUAACUUGCUGUUACUUUGUUAAAAGACUAUGGGGGUAUUGUUUACUUUUCAAUCACUAGAGGCGUGAGAGUUAUUGUCUGUUGUCUGAAAAUACAUUUUUUUUAAUAAAAAUAUUGAAAACCGUAACUUCUGCAAGUCUCUCUCAUUCUUUGGAAAAUACUUUUCACCGACGUUUCUUUCCUUCUCCAUUCCUCGAUCGUCUUGGAGCUUCGUCUCAUCUUCACUUCCACUCUCUUCGUUUCUCAAACUGUUUCCACCCUCAGACUGCUCCAUCUCAUGAGAUGUAUGUUCAUCCACGGCCACUCCUCUGUCAUCACUUCUCUCAGGUGUUCUCCGGUUAGAAGAGGCAGGACGUACUGAUGUUGUUGUUGUCGCUGGUGGAUGAUACAUUGGCCUGCCUUGAUGUUGCACAACAAUCUGCUAAGUCACCAUGGCGUGUCUUAAUCUGUUUAAUUUUCAGGAUUGUUGGCAUGGCUGGUAUCGGACAAAGCCUGGUAUUGGUAUUGCUGUGUGGAUUAUGUACAUUUUUGACGACAAUAUCUUUGAGUGCUAUUGCGACAAAUGGCGCAAUGAAGGUAAUUAUUUUUCUGUAAUAUCACCCGGAAUUUUCUUUUACAAUAGUUAAAAUGUAUCCAUCCAUUCGUUGGGUUUCUGGUCCAUACUUAGCACCCCUAUUACUUCUCUCUUUCUUUUGUGAUAGAACAAUAUGUAGGACAUCAAGUUUAUUCCGUAAAUAACUCGCAUUACUUUACUUCCAGGGUGGAGGACCAUAUUACCUCAUUGGUCGUGCUCUUGGUCCGGAGGUUGGGAUUAGCAUAGGUUUAUGCUUCUUCCUUGGCAAUGCAGUUGCUGGAGCUCUGUAAGUGUAUAUUCUGGAUCCUUUGAAAUAGAUUCUCUUGGAGAAAGUCUUAAGCUCAACACUCUAAGUUGCUGGUGCUCUGUUCAGUUUCACAUGGUCUCCGAGUGCUUCUAAUGACUAAUUUAUCUGCUUUCUUCCUUAUCAAUGUAGGUACGUUUUGGGUGCUGUGGAGACUUUUUUAAAAGCGUUCCCUGCUGCUGGGAUUUUUAGAGGUAUUACUGUGGAACUUGUAAGAAUUGAAACCUGUGAAGUGUGAACCAAAGAAAAGGGGUACUAGGAUGUCCAACAACUCUUAGUAAUUCAUCAGUUUUUCGAUCACUACUUUAUUCAUGUUAGUCUUGACGUCAAAGACUUGUUUCAUCAAUUGUUGGAAAUGGCAACGCCUAUAUGCAAUCGAGGAUUUGCAAGAACUAUAUUAUUGACUGCCAAAAUCUGACAAAACCUUUACUUGUUUUCCUUGAGGACAAAAUCUUUAGCCUAUUAGUCACAUUUAGCCACUUAUAUGUGUUUCAUUUCUAAUGGCAGAAACUAUCACAAAGGUUAAUGGAACUGCAGUUGCCGAAUCAGUACAAAGCCCAAGCUCACACGACUUGCAGAUUUAUGGAAUUGUUGUGACUAUACUUCUAUGCUUCAUUGUGUUUGGCGGCGUGAAGAUGAUCAAUCGGGUUGCACCUGCUUUCCUACUACCCGUGUUGCUCUCUAUCUUGUGCAUAUUCAUUGGGAUGUUUUUGGCAAAAACAGAUGAUCCUGACAGUAAGCCAUUUCAGGAUAUUGUUGGAUAUAGGCAUGGAGAUAUAUUUCCCCAAACUGUUAACCUUUCCAUUGUUAUGAUCUGAACAGCUGGAAUCACGGGCUUGCGAUUAAAAAGUUUUAGAGAUAACUGGAGUUCUGCUUAUCAGAUGACAAAUAAUGCGGGAAUUCCUGAUCCACUUGGAGGCACAUACUGGAGUUUCAAGUGAGUCACAUCUAGAAUUUUUGUUGCCUAUGAUAGUAAAACUCUAGUUUUUGUGUAAGUUUAUUUGUUACUCUGAAAUUUAUAUACCGUUCUCUUUGUUACUUUUCAGUGAGUUGGUGGGUCUAUUUUUCCCUGCUGUAACAGGAAUUAUGGCUGGUUCAAAUAGAUCAGCUUCACUGAAAGACACACAAAGAUCAAUUCCUGUUGGAACAUUGGCUGCCACUCUGUCAACCACCUUACUGUAUGUGAUAUCAGUGCUGUUUUUUGGAGCUGUUGCUACCCGUGACAAACUUUUGACUGAUAGGUAACGGUGUUACUCGUGUGACUUCUUUGUUUUUUUUUUUGUUUCAAAGCCGAUCUGGUGUAUUUAGCAUGGAUAAACUUGAAAGAUAGUAAAAGUUGCUUUGUGCUCUGAAUGUACUAAACAAAACUACUAGGGGCCUACGAAAGGUGUACUUUCUUAGUCUAUAUGUCAAGAAUAAAUUAAGCAUUUCUGAUAGUGGUCGCAGAGACCUGUUCUUUUAGCGCUUCAACACCUUGAUUUUUUUUUAAAAUUUUCAUACGAGAGUAAUUUUCCUCUAUUGCAGGCUUCUUACUGCCACAGUUGCUUGGCCUCUCCCCCUCAUUGUUCACGUUGGCAUCAUCCUCUCAACCUUAGGGGCUGCUCUCCAGAGUCUGACAGGAGCCCCAAGGUUGCUUGCGGCUAUAGCAAAUGAUGAUAUUCUCCCCAUCCUGAAUUAUUUUAAAGUUGCGGAUACUAGCGAACCUCACAUAGCGACGCUUUUCACAGCAUUGAUCUGCAUCGGAUGUGUUGUUAUCGGAAAUCUAGAUCUUAUUACACCGACUGUGACUAUGUUUUAUCUUUUAUGCUACGCGGGAGUAAACUUGUCUUGUUUCCUGCUUGAUCUACUUGAUGCUCCAAGUUGGCGUCCACGGUGGAAAUACCAUCACUGGAGCCUUUCCUUUGUUGGAGCCUCACUUUGCAUAGGUAUGAAUAUUCAAAUACUUGUUGUUGAAGAUUGUCUUUUGUACAGUCUUCUUUUGUAGUCCAUUCCUAUAAAACAAAUUGUCUUGUCUUACCUGAAGAUUGAGAUGUCUUAUUAUUAUGAAGACUCUUUUUGAUGUUCCCUUUUUUUCUGUACGGUUGCAGUGAUCAUGUUCUUGAUUUCUUGGUCAUUCACUGUCGUUGCCAUUGCGCUUGCAAGUCUUAUAUACAAAUACGUUGGGCUAAAAGGAAAGGCCGGAGACUGGGGUGAUGGUUUCAAGAGUGCAUAUUUUCAGUUGGCCCUUCGUAGUCUCAGGUCACUCGGAGGUAAGCCACAUAAGUGUUAUAUAAUAUACAUUCUCUAUAUGUUGUUACACCGGAACCUGCCUUAUUUAUUAGGUUCAAAUAUUAGAUGGUCCAUUUAUCUAAGCUUAUCUUUUCUCCAAAUUGCAGCGGAUCAAGUGCACCCUAAGAACUGGUAUCCAAUCCCCCUUGUUUUCUGCAGACCAUGGGGACAGCUCCCAGAGAAUGUUCCAUGCCAUCCUAAGCUGGCUGAUUUUGCCAACUGUAUGAAGAAAAAAGGUCGUGGAAUGUCGAUCUUUGUCUCAAUACUAGACGGUGACUACUAUGAAUGUGCUGAAGAAGCAAAAGAAGCCUGCAAACAACUAGCCACCUACAUUGAGUACAAGCGUUGCGAAGGCGUAGCUGAAAUCGUUGUAGCUCCAAACAUGACCGAAGGCUUCCGCGGGAUCAUCCAGACGAUGGGACUUGGAAACCUCAAACCCAACAUUGUCGUAAUGCGUUACCCCGAGAUCUGGCGACGGGAGAAUCUAACAGAGAUUCCAUCCACGUUUGUUGGGAUAAUCAACGACUGCAUAACAGCAAACAAAGGAGUUGUCAUCAUCAAAGGGUUAGAGGAAUGGCCAAACGAGUACCAAAGACAGUACGGAACAAUCGACUUGUACUGGAUCGUGAGAGACGGCGGUCUCAUGCUUCUCCUCUCGCAGCUUCUUCUGACGAAAGAAAGCUUCGAGAGCUGCAAGAUCCAGCUCUUCUGCAUAGCUGAAGAGGAUUCAGACGCGGAAGCACUAAAGGCCGACGUGAAGAAGUUCCUCUACGACCUCAGAAUGCAAGCGGAAGUAAUCGUGGUGACGAUGAAGUCGUGGGACAUAAGAUCAGAAGGAAACAGCAAAGAAGAUUCAUUAGAGGCCUUUGAUGCUGCGCAGAGACGAAUCUCGGAUUACUUGGGAGAGAUAAAGAGUCAAGGUUCGACUCCAAGGUUGGCAAACGGGAAAAUGAUGGUGGUGAAUGAGCAACAAGUGGAGAAGUUUCUAUACACGAUGCUGAAACUGAACUCGACCAUACUCAGUUACUCGAGGAUGGCCGCGGUGGUGCUGGUUAGUCUCCCGCCGCCU
rnacentral:lncRNA from 1 species